CAGCAGCCGCGGUAAUUCCGGCGGCCCGAGUGGCGGCCACUAUUAUUGGGCCUAAAGCGUCCGUAGCCGGGCUGGUAAGUCCUCCGGGAAAUCUGGUCGCUUAACGAUCAGACUUCCGGAGGAUACUGCUGGCCUAGGGACCGGGAGAGGCCGAGGGUAUUCCCGGGGUAGGGGUGAAAUCCUGUAAUCCCGGGAGGACCACCUGUGGCGAAGGCGCUCGGCUGGAACGGGUCCGACGGUGAGGGACGAAGGCCAGGGGAGCGAACCGGAUUAGAUACCCGGGUAGUCCUGGCUGUAAACGAUGCGGACUAGGUGUCGGGCAAGCUAAGGGCUUGUCCGGUGCCGCAGGGAAGCCGUUAAGUCCGCCGCCUGGGGAGUACGGCCGCAAGGCUGAAACUUAAAGGAAUUGGCGGG
rnacentral:rRNA from 1 species